rnacentral:rRNA from 1 species
UCCUGUACUACCGAUAACCGUUUGAGAGAAGGGAUGACACAGUAGGAUAAGCUAAGCACACUGUUGGUUAUGUGUGCCCAAGCAUUGAGGCAGUCAAAGUAGGCAAAUCCGCUUUGAUAAUGCUGGGAUGUGAUGGGGAGCGAAAUUUAGUAGCGAAGUAGCUGAUUUCACACUGUCAAGAAAAGUCUCUAUCGAGGUUAAAGGUACCCGUACCGCAAACCGACACAGGUGGGUGAGGAGAGUAUCCUAAGGCCAGCGAGAGAACUGUUGUUAAGGAACUCGGCAAAAUGACCCCGUAACUUAGGGAUAAGGGGUGCCACCAUCAGGUGGCCGCAGAGAAUAGGCCCAAGCGACUGUUUACCAAAAACAUAGGUUUCUGCUAAGUCGCAAGACGAUGUAUAGGAGCUGACGCCUGCCCGGUGCUGGAA